rnacentral:misc_RNA from 1 species
UGUUUUUAAAAAUUCGCUAAUAGUUUCAAAAUUUUGCUUGGCCAGUUCGGCAAUAACAUUGGAGCUUUGCGUAGGCUAUCGUCGUCGUCGUUAUAAUGCAAUAAUAGGACUACAAAUCGACUAGAACAAAAAUCAAAUAAAAAUAACUAAAAUAAAACGUAACAAAAAUGAGCCAACGCCAAAGCUAACCUCAAGGAAUCGAACACAAUAAAACUCAGACACAACUGCAGCAUCAGGUAUAUACACACAUAUAUAUUCAUAAUCGGACGGACGACUACGGCGAAGCAACUGCGCCAGCAAAAUGUCCACAGCAACCGCCAAGCAGAAGCAGCCACGCGCUGCCAGCGAGGAGAGCAUGUCGCCCAAGAAGAUGGGCGUGAUUGCGCUGGUCACUGUGGUUGGCUGCGUGGCCAUCCUCUGGCCAAAGGUGUUCCACCCCAUGAUGUUUGGCGGCACGCCGCCUAAGCCGAGCUACAAGGAUCAGCCACAACGCGGCAUGCCUGGCGGUUGCUGCGAUGUCGUGCUUGACAGGGAGCAGUUCAUGAAUGCUUCGAAGCCCAGCGUCGAGCCAUUUGGCCCCCAUUUGUAUCGCAAGCAGAUCAAUUUGUACACGGGCGAAAUAAGCCUACGUCAGGAACGGCCCGCCCACCUGCAUCCGGAAUCCAUUUAUCAGGCAAUGCGUGAGCGUGGGCGUGCAAUACCCGCCACGCCCACCGUGCCCAUAGUGGAGCGCAAGACUUCGCCGAGUAAUCCACCGCCGCGCAUCGUUGACGGACGGCCGGGACCCAUUCCUGGCAUGCGGCCGCCAAUGGGCGCGGGCGCCUUCCACCAGCCACAGCAGCGGGCGGGCAGCAGCAUGGGCUUCCUGAUGCCACUCUAUACGAUCGGAAUUGUGGUGUUCUUUGGCUAUACGAUUAUGAAGAUUGUUUUCAAGAAACAAAUACCAAAUGCUCCAUAUGGACCCACUCCAGGGGAUCCCAGCUUCCGCCGUGAUGUCUUCGAGCAACAGAAUCACAGUCAAGUGGAGGACUUGAAUGGCACCAAAUUGGGUUGGCGUGAACAUCAGACAAGAACUGCAACGAGUGCAGCGACUGCGGCGGCAACGGCGAAUGGCAGACGCAACGACAAGGAGCUCUACAAUGCCACCUUGUCGGCCACGGAGCUGGCCACGAAUCUGUCCAGCACACUGAAGGCCCACCAGCAGCAGUGCCAUGCGCCCAAGUCCCUGGCCGAGGUGGAGAAGACGCUGUUCAAUAAGGAGACGGAGCAGCUGAUGGAAAUUGAAAAGCUGCGCAAGAAGCUCGAGGAUACCGAACGCGAGAUGGCCAAGUUGAUAGCCGAAAUGAACACCGAUCAGUAUGAGGCCAAGACGCUGCCGAUGAGCAAUUGAACAUGCGAGACGUGCGAGGGGCGAGGAUCGAAACUGAAACUGAAACUGAAAUUGAAACUGAAACUGAUUUGAAUAAGCAACCGGACGACAUCGAAAAAACGAAUUUGACAAAUGUAGAAAACCAAAACAUUUCCAAUGGGCAUACAGCUAACGACCAGCAGGGUAUCACAAAGUCGAGCAACACCAAGCAACAGCAGCAGCAGAGAAAGCGACGCGACAUCAGCGCUGAGCGUGAAAUGACGGUUCUUGGCAUGGAGCUAACAGCUAGUUGUGAGGGCGGUCAGAGGUGGACCGGACGCCCUCCAACACCUGUUUAUCGCGCAUCCAGUGAACAUUCCAAAUUGGAAGAGAAUCUACCCGAGCCGCAAUCCAUUUACUUGGAAGGCGCCUUGGCUCACGACUCGCAAAUUUUGGUAGCCGAUUCGCAAACGAAACGCGAGGAGGUCUAUGACUCCGAGCUGAAUGGAUCAUCUGAGGAGCCGGCUGUCAUACUCAGUAGCAAGAUGACGUUAUCAUUGAUUAAUUUGGAUGCAAAUCAACAAAAUGGUAGCGAUAGCAAGCAGGAAAUCGAAAGUCCCUUGGCCGAUGAUAUUGAAAUAAUUGGACACGACGAA